CUCGAAGGCCUCCACAAACGUCUUGAAGACGGUAAUUUGGACAGAAAUGAAUUGAUUAUUGCAAAAGAAGGGCAGGUGAAGGACUUUCCAAAUGGCAUUUCUGAAUGUGGUGCUGAUGCCCUCCGUUUUGCACUCAUAACUUAUACAAAACAGUCUGAUAAGAUCAAUCUGGAUUUGCUGAGGGUUGUUGGAUACAGGGAAUGGUGCAAUAAGUUGUGGAAUGCUAUACGUUUUGCUAUGAGCAAGCUGG
rnacentral:misc_RNA from 1 species